GAUGAACGCUGGCGGCGUGCUUAACACAUGCAAGUCGAACGGUGAAGCAGAGCUUGCUCUGUGGAUCAGUGGCGAACGGGUGAGUAACACGUGAGCAACCUGCCCCUGACUCUGGGAUAAGCGCUGGAAACGGCGCCUAAUACUGGAUAUGAGCUGCGACCGCAUGGUCAGCAGUUGGAAAGAUUUUUCGGUCUGGGAUGGGCUCACGGCCUAUCAGCUUGUUGGUGAGGUAAUGGCUCACCAAGGCGUCGACGGGUAGCCGGCCUGAGAGGGUGACCGGCCACACUGGGACUGAGACACGGCCCAGACUCCUACGGGAGGCAGCAGUGGGGAAUAUUGCACAAUGGGCGAAAGCCUGAUGCAGCAACGCCGCGUGAGGGAUGACGGCCUUCGGGUUGUAAACCUCUUUUAGCAGGGAAGAAGCGAAAGUGACGGUACCUGCAGAAAAAGCGCCGGCUAACUACGUG
rnacentral:rRNA from 1 species